AUUGAACGCUGGCGGCAUGCUUUACACAUGCAAGUCGAACGGCAGCGCGGGCUUCAGCCUGGCGGCGAGUGGCGAACGGGUGAGUAAUACAUCGGAACGUGCACAGUAGUGGGGGAUAGCUCGGCGAAAGCCGGAUUAAUACCGCAUACGACCUGAGGGUGAAAUCGGGUGAUCUUCGGACGUCGCGCUAUUGUAGCGGGCGAUGGCAGAAUAGCUAGUUGGUGGGGUAAAGGCCUACCAAGGCGACGAUCGGUAGCUGGUCUGAGAGGACGACCAGCCACACUGGGACUGAGAGACGGCCAAGACUCCUGCGGGAGGCAGCAGUGGGGAAUUUUGGACAAUGGGCGAAAGCCUGAUCCUGCAAUGCCGCGUGUGUGAUGAAGGCCUUCGGGUUGUAAAGCACUUUUGGCGGGAACGAAAAUGACUGUGCCAAUACCACGGUUCGAUGGCGGUACCCGCAGGAUAAGCACCGGCUAACUACGUG
rnacentral:rRNA from 1 species